GGCGUAGGUGGCCUUUCAAGUCCGAUGUGAAAUCUCCCGGCUUAACUGGGAGGGUGCAUCGGAUACUGUUGGGCUGGAGUGCAGCAGAGGGAGAUGGAAUUCCCGGUGUAGUGGUGAAAUGCGUAGAUAUCGGGAGGAACACUGGUGGCGAAGGCGGUCUCCUGGGAUGCAACUGACACUGAGGCCCGAAGGCGUGGGGAGCAAACAGGAUUAGAUACCCUGGUAGUCCACGCAGUAAACGAUGGGUACUAGGUAUGGGGAGUAUCGACCCUCUCCGUGCCGAAGCUAACGCUUUAAGUACCCCGCCUGGGGAGUACGGUCGCAAGACUAAA
rnacentral:rRNA from 1 species